GAUGAACGCUGGCGGCGUGCCUAAUACAUGCAAGUCGAGCGAACAGACGAGGAGCUUGCUCCUCUGACGUUAGCGGCGGACGGGUGAGUAACCCGUGGAUAACCUACCUAUAAGACUGGGAUAACUUCGGGAAACCGGAGCUAAUACCGGAUAAUAUAUUGAACCGCAUGGUUCAAUAGUGACAGACGGUUUUGCUGUCACUUAUAGAUGGAUCCGCGCCGCAUUAGCUAGUUGGUAAGGUAACGGCUUACCAAGGCGACGAUGCGUAGCCGACCUGAGAGGGUUAUCGGCCACACUGGAACUGAGACACGGUCCAGACUCCUACGGGACGCAGCAGUAGGGAAUCUUCCACGAUGGGCGAAAGCCUGACGGAGCAACGCCGCGUGAGUGAUGAAGGUCUUCGGAUCGUAAAACUCUGUUAUUAGGGAAGAACAAAUGUGUAAGUAACUAUGCACGUCUUGACGGUACCUAAUCAGAAAGCCACGGCUAACUACGUG
rnacentral:rRNA from 1 species